UACGUAGGGUGCGAGCGUUAAUCGGAAUUACUGGGCGUAAAGCGUGCGCAGGCGGUUUGUUAAGACAGAUGUGAAAUCCCCGGGCUUAACCUGGGAACUGCAUUUGUGACUGGCAAGCUAGAGUAUGGCAGAGGGGGGUAGAAUUCCACGUGUAGCAGUGAAAUGCGUAGAGAUGUGGAGGAAUACCGAUGGCGAAGGCAGCCCCCCUGGGCCAAAUACUGACGCUCAUG
rnacentral:rRNA from 1 species